rnacentral:misc_RNA from 1 species
GAUGAAGAACGCAGUGAAAUGCGAUAAGUAAUGUGAAUUGCAGAAUCCAGUGAAUCAUCGAAUCUUUGAACGCAUAUUGCGCCCGCCAGCAUUCUGGCGGGCAUGCCUGUUCGAGCGUCAUUUCAACCCUCGACCUCCCUUUGGGGAAGUCGGCGUUGGGGACCGGCAGCACACCGCCGGCCCUGAAAUGGAGUGGCGGCCCGUCCGCGGCGACCUCUGCGUAGUAAACCAACUCGCACCGGAACCCCGACGUGGCCACGCCGUAAAACACCCAACUUCUGAACGUUGACCUCGAAUCAGGUAGGACUACCCGCUGAACUUAAGCAUAUCAAUAAGCGGAGGA